CGAACAUAAAAUUAGCUAGUGCUAGCCACCUAGCUUGAAAACAAAACACAAAAUCUGAAUUUGGCAAUCCAUGGAAACCCUAAUUUUGAUCACUCAUAACUCCAACAUAAACUUUGUUGGAUACUAUUGUAACGUUUCUUUUUAAGUUGUCGGGUUUAAUGGUGUACAAUUUUGGUUGGAUUUCCGAAAUGAAGAGACUAACAAACUGCACGCGGUUGCAGUAGUAUUGGUAAAGUUAGCUUGAGAUUUUGAGUUCAUCUUUUUAGAAUCCAUCAUGUUGCUAGAAUCAUUGCAAGGAGCCGAGGCAGGAGGAUUGAUUAUUAUAAAAGAUUCGGUGAAUUACUCUGGUCGACAUCUCCUCAAAAGCUACAUUAAUGCAGCACUGAAUAGGGAGGAAGUUGUCCACGUGCUGGGUUUCGAGGUCAAUGAGCAGGAACUCAAAGAUGGAUUGGACAGAUCAUCCAUUCAAAGGGUACACUUUCAUGAUGCAUAUACUGACCCCCUCGGCUGGACCGAAAACCCACGUUUCACCAUCCACCAGUUUACCACAGACGAUAUCAGCACUUGUCUUAAGCAAACACCCAAUAACAAAGGAUUGACACUCGUCAUUGACUCUUUGACGUGGAUUUUGAGGCAUCUAAAUCCCACUGUCAUCUGUCAGACUCUCCAUCAACUUAAGAAAGGUGGAGCUGUGAGAACUAUCAUUGGCCUGCUGCAUGCAGACCUGCACCAGCAUGGCACUGUGGGAAGUGUAUGCCACUUGGCUACCUCAGUCAUCACAGUAGCACCUGGGCCCAGGGAUCAGGGGACUGUUGCUAAAAUAACAAGACGCUCAAAAUCUGGAAAGAUUUUGCAAGCUUUGUCUGCCUAUAGGAGGAAAUCUUUAGCAUCAAAGAAGACUUUACAGUCACAAUACAUGGCAAGCCCAGCCCUUCAGGAACCACACAGAUGGACACAGUGGAAUCUGAGACAGAUCCAACAGCCAACUUGACUUUCAACCUCCGUCUGUCUGAGACGGAGCGCCAAGCGAAAGAAAAACUGUCGCUCCCCUUUGUUUUCAGUAAAGACAAGAAGUCGGCUCUGCUCCAUUCCGGCCCUGGCUCAGGGCGCAUCGUGUACGAGCCUGACGCCAACGAUGACUUUGACCAGGAGGAUCCUGAUGACGACCUGGAUGUAUAGGCCAGGAAACCCCACUAAAGCCUAGAGUCUUUUCUUCACACAGCUAAUGGGACCUCAGAAAUGUGACAUUCUGGAGAACCCUGAAUCACAGACCAGAGGCUAGGCAGAAAAUGUUGGCAUUUACAUAAAAUAUGUUCGUGUCUAUGAAUUCAGAAUGCAAGAGCACUGCUAGCGUUGGAAAAAGAAAAGCAAACUGCAGUUGGAGUGCUUUAUUAUUUAUUUAUUUUUACCACAUUUGAUAAGCAGGCCUACACUCAAUGCCUAAAGAUAUGAUGAACCUAUGAUGUUCAGAGUCAAAGAAAAUAGGUAGGCGCUGUCAAUGCAAAUGGUUGUAUACCUUGGCGGAAUGAAAGCUUGUCAUAAGAUCUGCCUCCUGAUAAUCAAGAGCAGCUGAAGGCUGAACACGAUGAGCCUUUAUUCAAAUAAAACACUGUUUUGUUUGA